rnacentral:rRNA from 1 species
GAGGGANGAAGGCCUUUGGGUUGUAAACCUCUUUUGUUAGGGAAGAUAAUGACUGUACCCUCCCAAUAAGGUCCG